AUCGACGUUAUCUGUAAAACAUAAAAAUCGUGGUGUGAUUGGCAGCACCGUCAUCUGCGGUAUACGGUCAUUGCCCUAAAACAUAAUAUAAAAAUUCACUCGACUAUAAACUUACCGUCCGCAUCACUCCAUUACCAGCCGUACCACCAUUGCGGGCGGCACAGCUGUAGUGAUGCACGUAAGCCGCAGUCGAAACACGACGACGUUUCGUCCGAAAGUCGUCGUCGGUGAAAUAGUGACGUCCCCGGUGCAGACACAACAACAUAAUAUUAUGUCUAUAGACGUCGAUACCAAAGUGACGUUUGGGACUAAAUGACCCGACGCUAACCACCUACAGACGCUAUAACGACCUACCAUACUAUAAACCUGCGUAACCUACCGGUCUAUGCGUACGGCAUUCACCUUCUGCGUUACAAGUAUUUUGAUUGUCGUAAUCUCUACCGUCAUUUUGGAUCCAGUGUUUUGCACGAAUUUACGGUACCACAAACGACUGAAAACCACGUUUUUGAUAUUAGCCGCUGUUGCCGUGACUAUCGUUUUGAAGACUAUCAACAACUACCGAUUCACCUGGCCUAUAAUAAUUUAAAAAAAAAAAAAAUGAAGAAUUUUCAUAAUGAGGUUCCAGAUAAAAGAAAACUUAGAGAAUUCAUUUCAGUCCAAGCACCAAUAACAGUAAUUGAAAUAAGUUCUGAAGAUGAGGAUGAAAAUGAUGAAAAUAAUGAACCCAUUUCAAUCCGCAGUACUGAAUUUGUAGCAGAAAUUGAUGAUGAUUCCUCAACCGAUACAGAUUAUGAUUUCAUAAUCGAUACAGAUGAUGAUUAUGAAAGAGUACAUUGAAGGAUAAAAAAAAAUAUUUAUAAAUUUAUGUUGUAUUUUCAAAAUUUAAGAAUAAAAUAAACAAACACAAUCUAGAAAGUUCAACUUCAAACAAA